AAUUUCUUUUUAUUUUAUGUUUUUUAUUCUUCAAGUUUAUACUUUUCCUAUUUAAAAUUUUCAAGUCACAAAAAUCCUACGUAAAUUCCAAAGAAAUAAUUUCAGCUAAAUUUGUAGCAACACAACCCCCAAUAAUUUUUCAAGUAAUAAUUUCGUAGGUAAAUCCCCCAAAAAUAAUUUCAGCUAAAUUUGUAGCAACACAAUCCCUCAAUAAUUUUCCAAGUAAUAAUUUCGCAGGUAAAUCCCCAAGAAUAAAUCUCCAUAAAAAUUCGCAGAACAAAAUCCCCAAAUAAAUUUUCAAAUAAUAAAAUCCAUUAC
rnacentral:lncRNA from 1 species